ensembl:snoRNA U8 U8 small nucleolar RNA
UCGUCAGGUGGGAUAAUCCUUACCUGUUCCUCCUUUAGGAGGGCAGAUUAGAACAUGAUGACUGGAGAUGCAUGAAACGUGAUUAACGUCUCUGCGUAGUCAGGGCUUGCAACACCCUGAUUGCUCCUGUCUGAU